rnacentral:rRNA from 1 species
GACGGGGCCCGCACAAGCGGUGGAGUAUGUGGUUUAAUUCGAUGCAACGCGAAGAACCUUACCUGGUCUUGACAUCCCGGAGACCCUUAGGAAACUAGGGGGUGCUUCCAUCUGGAAGAAUCUGGAGACAGGUGCUGCAUGGCUGUCGUCAGCUCGUGUCGUGAGAUGUUGGGUUAAGUCCCGCAACGAGCGCAACCCUUGCCUUUAGUUGCCAGCAGUUCGGCUGGGCACUCUAAAGGGACUGCCGGUGUUAAACCAGAGGAAGGUGGGGAUGACGUCAAGUCCUCAUGGCCUUUAUGACCAGGGCUACACACGUACUACAAUGGCCGAUACAAAGGGCAGCGACACUGCGAGGUGAAGCCAAUCCCGUAAAAUCGGUCUCAGUCCGGAUUGGAGUCUGCAACUCGACUCCAUGAAGUUGGAAUCGCUAGUAAUCGUGGAUCAGCAUGCCACGGUGAAUACGUUCCCGGGCCUU